CAAGUCUAGUUCUCGCUCUCAUUCCGUGUCCCGCUCCAAAUCUGCUUCCCCAUCUAGCUAUCAUUCUCGCUCUAGAUCAUUCUCCCCUUCUCUCCUUCUCGUAGUGGUAGCUCUCGAAAUCAUAGUCCUCUUCAAUGUUGAAGGUUACUCCCUCCAUAGAUUUUAUGAUUUUUUAUGAAAUUUUCAUAUCUGAAUUUUUAAAGAUAUAACUCUAGUUGAAAGGCACCUAAAUGGUGAGGUAUGUUUUGUUCCAGUUAUCUAUAUGAAUCCUUAAAUUGGGAUUUUUCCAGAUCUGAGUAAACAGUAAUUUCGUGUUUGUGAUGAACAAUAGUUGAAAUCCAUGAUUUCGAAUAUGAUGUUUAUUACAUUUCAAUUUGUUAGUUGUUUUUUAAGAUAUGAUUUUUUUAAGAUCUGUAUAUAUUCGAGAUAUAGGUACUUAAAGUUAGUAAAUGAAUGAUCUACA
rnacentral:lncRNA from 1 species